rnacentral:snRNA from 1 species
ACUUAUACCUUGCAGGGGAAAUACCAUGUCAUAAAAAUGGUCUUCCUAGAGAGAGGCUCACCCAUUGCACUUUGGGCAUGCUGCUAAUCCUUGUGAUUUCCCCAAAUGUGGGGAAUUCAACUGCAUAAUUUGUGUUAAUGGAAAAUUACACUUGUGGUAAACUCUAG